GGGAAAGUGGCUCAGUGGUAGAGUGCUUGCCUUGCAAGCAUGAGGCCCUGGGUUCAAUUCCUCAGUACCA
rnacentral:tRNA from 1 species